rnacentral:rRNA from 1 species
UACGAAGGGUGCAAGCGUUAAUCGGAAUUACUGGGCGUAAAGCGCACGUAGGCGGAUUGGAAAGUUGGGGGUGAAAUCCCCAGGGCUCAACCCUGGAACUGCCUCCAAAACUCCCAGUCUGGAGUUCGAGAGAGGUGAGUGGAAUUCCGAGUGUAGAGGUGAAAUUCGUAGAUAUUCGGAGGAACACCAGUGGCGAAGGCGACCACCUGGACUGAUACUGACGCUGAGGUGCGAAAGCGUGGGGAGCAAACAGGAUUAGAUACCCGCGUAGU